rnacentral:rRNA from 1 species
GAUGAACGCUGGCGGCGUGCCUAAUACAUGCAAGUCGAGCGAACGGACGAGAAGCUUGCUUCUCUGAUGUUAGCGGCGGACGGGUGAGUAACACGUGGAUAACCUACCUAUAAGACUGGGAUAACUUCGGGAAACCGGAGCUAAUACCGGAUAAUAUUUUGAACCGCAUGGUUCAAAAGUGAAAGACGGUCUUGCUGUCACUUAUAGAUGGAUCCGCGCUGCAUUAGCUAGUUGGUAAGGUAACGGCUUACCAAGGCAACGAUGCAUAGCCGACCUGAGAGGGUGAUCGGCCACACUGGAACUGAGACACGGUCCAGGCUCCUACGGGAGGCAGCAGUAGGGAAUCUUCCGCAAUGGGCGAAGGCCUGACGGAGCAACGCCGCGUGAGUGAUGAAGGUCUUCGGAUCGUAAAACUCUGUUAUUAGGGAAGAACAUAUGUGUAAGUAACUGUGCACAUCUUGACGGUACCUAAUCAGAAAGCCACGGCUAACUACGUG